rnacentral:piRNA from 1 species
UGAAUGUCUACUGGUCAAGGCUUUAUAAU